rnacentral:rRNA from 1 species
UCGAGCGGUAGCACAGAGAGCUUGCUCUCGGGUGACGAGCGGCGGACGGGUGAGUAAUGUCUGGGAAACUGCCUGAUGGAGGGGGAUAACUACUGGAAACGGUAGCUAAUACCGCAUAACGUCGCAAGACCAAAGUGGGGGACCUUCGGGCCUCAUGCCAUCAGAUGUGCCCAGAUGGGAUUAGCUGGUAGGUGGGGUAACGGCUCACCUAGGCGACGAUCCCUAGCUGGUCUGAGAGGAUGACCAGCCACACUGGAACUGAGACACGGUCCAGACUCCUACGGGAGGCAGCAGUGGGGAAUAUUGCACAAUGGGCGCAAGCCUGAUGCAGCCAUGCCGCGUGUGUGAAGAAGGCCUUCGGGUUGUAAAGCACUUUCAGCGGGGAGGAAGGCGGUGAGGUUAAUAACCUCAUCGAUUGACGUUACCCGCAGAAGAAGCACCGGCUAACUCCGUGCCAGCAGCCGCGGUAAUACGGAGGGUGCAAGCGUUAAUCGGAAUUACUGGGCGUAAAGCGCACGCAGGCGGUCUGUCAAGUCGGAUGUGAAAUCCCCGGGCUCAACCUGGGAACUGCAUUCGAAACUGGCAGGCUAGAGUCUUGUAGAGGGGGGUAGAAUUCCAGGUGUAGCGGUGAAAUGCGUAGAGAUCUGGAGGAAUACCGGUGGCGAAGGCGGCCCCCUGGACAAAGACUGACGCUCAGGUGCGAAAGCGUGGGGAGCAAACAGGAUUAGAUACCCUGGUAGUCCACGCUGUAAACGAUGUCGAUUUGGAGGUUGUGCCCUUGAGGCGUGGCUUCCGGAGCUAACGCGUUAAAUCGACCGCCUGGGGAGUACGGCCGCAAGGUUAAAACUCAAAUGAAUUGACGGGGGCCCGCACAAGCGGUGGAGCAUGUGGUUUAAUUCGAUGCAACGCGAAGAACCUUACCUGGUCUUGACAUCCACAGAACUUUCCAGAGAUGGAUUGGUGCCUUCGGGAACUGUGAGACAGGUGCUGCAUGGCUGUCGUCAGCUCGUGUUGUGAAAUGUUGGGUUAAGUCCCGCAACGAGCGCAACCCUUAUCCUUUGUUGCCAGCGGUUAGGCCGGGAACUCAAAGGAGACUGCCAGUGAUAAACUGGAGGAAGGUGGGGAUGACGUCAAGUCAUCAUGGCCCUUACGACCAGGGCUACACACGUGCUACAAUGGCAUAUACAAAGAGAAGCGACCUCGCGAGAGCAAGCGGACCUCAUAAAGUAUGUCGUAGUCCGGAUUGGAGUCUGCAACUCGACUCCAUGAAGUCGGAAUCGCUAGUAAUCGUAGAUCAGAAUGCUACGGUGAAUACGUUCCCGGGCCUUGUACACACCGCCCGUCACACCAUGGGAGUG